AAUAAGUGCAGCCAUGGAUAUCCGUGCCCAACGUUUGACCGUCCGUCUUAUUUAAAAAAAUUGUGAAAAAUUUGAAAAUAUUUAGUCACACAUAAAGUACUUUUCAUGUUUUAUCAUCUAAUAGCAAUAAAAAUAUUAAUCAUAAAAAAAUUUCAAAUAAAACGAACGGUUAAACGUUGAACGUAAAUAGUGUAAAACUGUAUUUAUU
rnacentral:pre_miRNA from 1 species